AGUGUCCUGGUUCCUGCAGCGGCAGCAACAGCAGGUCCUACUAUCGCCUCCCUCUAGUCUCUGCUUCUCUGGAUCCCUGAGGAGGGCAGAAGGUACUGAGGAAGGUUAAAGGGACCAGCCUUGGAGUAUUUCCCCGCUCUGAGACUCAGCUGGCCACAGGCCAGGUUCUGAAGUUCCUUUCUUCCAAGCCAGUGAUUCUGGUUCUUGGACAAGGUGUUGAGGAACACUAGAAACAGAGGGGACUGUGACCUGGGGACUUUUUCUGCAGGAAGAAAACAGCCCAAAGAUGAGAGUGAUUCGCGUGGGUACCCGCAAGAGCCAGCUUGCUCGCAUACAGACGGACAGUGUGGUGACAACAUUGAAAGCCUCAUACCCUGGCCUGCAGUUUGAAAUCAUUGCUAUGUCCACCACAGGGGACAAGAUUCUUGAUACUGCACUCUCUAAGAUUGGAGAGAAAAGCCUGUUUACCAAGGAGCUUGAACAUGCCCUGGAGAAGAAUGAAGUGGACCUGGUUGUUCACUCCUUGAAGGACCUGCCCACUGUGCUUCCUCCUGGCUUCACCAUCGGAGCCAUCUGCAAGCGGGAAAACCCUCAUGAUGCUGUUGUCUUUCACCCAAAAUUUGUUGGGAAGACCCUAGAAACCCUGCCAGAGAAGAGUGUGGUGGGAACCAGCUCCCUGCGAAGAGCAGCCCAGCUGCAGAGAAAGUUCCCGCAUCUGGAGUUCAGGAGUAUUCGGGGAAACCUCAACACCCGGCUUCGGAAGCUGGACGAGCAGCAGGAGUUCAGUGCCAUCAUCCUGGCAACAGCUGGCCUACAGCGCAUGGGCUGGCACAACCGGGUGGGGCAGAUCCUGCACCCUGAGGAAUGCAUGUAUGCUGUGGGCCAGGUACACUUGACCAGGGAAGCCACAUGGUGACAUAUGCCUUCCCUUUGUUCUCAACCAAGAAGCUUGUCUCACAACCUUCUGCAUCUGCUUCCCCAGAAUAGCAUUCUCAGGGAGGGGCAGGCCUUGGGAUGCUACCGGUCCAAAAGGCGCUGGGGAGCAAGUAGAUAGAGGUGGUCCCAUGCUUUGCGCCAUUGGUUGGGGAAAGAUCAGGCCUGAUGUCCUAGGAUGUUUUUCCAUCAGGGAGCCUUGGGCGUGGAAGUCCGAGCCAAGGACCAGGACAUCUUGGAUCUGGUGGGUGUGCUGCACGAUCCUGAGACUCUGCUUCGCUGCAUCGCUGAAAGGGCCUUCCUGAGGCACCUGGAAGGAGGCUGCAGUGUGCCAGUAGCCGUGCAUACAGCUAUGAAGGAUGGGCAACUGUACCUGACUGGAGGAGUCUGGAGUCUAGACGGCUCAGAUAGCAUACAAGAGACCAUGCAGGCUACCAUCCAUGUCCCUGCCCAGCAUGAAGAUGGCCCUGAGGAUGACCCACAGUUGGUAGGCAUCACUGCUCGUAACAUUCCACGAGGGCCCCAGUUGGCUGCCCAGAACUUGGGCAUCAGCCUGGCCAACUUGUUGCUGAGCAAAGGAGCCAAAAACAUCCUGGAUGUUGCACGGCAGCUUAACGAUGCCCAUUAACUGGUUUGUGGGGCACAGAUGCCUGGGUUGCUGCUGUCCAGUGCCUACAUCCCGGGCCUCAGUGCCCCAUUCUCACUGCUAUCUGGGGACUGAUUACCCCAGGAGACUGAACUGCAGGGUUCAAGCCUUCCAGGGAUUUGCCUCACCUUGGGGCCUUGAUGACUGCCUUGCCUCCUCAGUAUGUGGGGGCUUCAUCUCUUUAGAGAAGUCCAAGCAACAGCCUUUGAAUGUAACC
rnacentral:sRNA from 1 species